UCGUGCUACUAAAAAUUUGACGUUUUCGCUGCGGAAUCCGAGCAAAAAGGCGAAUUAAACAGAAAACAGCAGACACGCAUACCAGCGCAAAAGUCGAGCGCAGCGAAAAUGCGGCGAAAAAGAGGCAGCUGAGAGAGCGGCGAAUACGAAUACUUGGACAUAUUUAUCGAUUGACUGGCAAAGAAGAAGAGCACAAGAGAGCGGCAGACAACUGGUCGCUUAAUUAAUUUGCUGAAAUAAACAUCUUGGGCUUUGUUGUGAAACGGAUCAGGAGCACACAAAUUACAUUCUGAGUAACUAACGAAGGAAGUAACAAGAAAACAAGAUUUCGAUUAUCACUGCGCCACUAUGCACACUUAUAAUUCCCAAUCGGCUGUAAAAUUGAAUGAAAGGAUAUGCCAGGAUUUUGGAUCCUUCGCUGCAGUGGGGAUGGAUAUUCGUUAAGGAUCUGGCUCUACUUACUGC